GACGAACGCUGGCGGCGUGCUUAACACAUGCAAGUCGAGCGGUAAGGCCCUUUCGGGGGUACGACGAGCGGCGAACGGGUGAGUAACACGUGGGUGACCUGCCCUUACGCUCUGGGAUAAGCCUGGGAAACUGGGUCUAAUACCGGAUAUGACUCCAUGACGCAUGUUGUGGGGUGGAAAGCCUUGUGCGGCUAGGGAUGGGCCCGCGGCCUAUCAGCUUGUUGGUGGGGUGAUGGCCUACCAAGGCGACGACGGGUAGCCGGCCUGAGAGGGCGACCGGCCACACUGGGACUGAGACACGGCCCAGGCUCCUACGGGAGGCAGCAGUGGGGAAUCUUGCGCAAUGGGCGAAAGCCUGACGCAGCGACGCCGCGUGAGGGAUGACGGCCU
rnacentral:rRNA from 1 species